rnacentral:lncRNA from 1 species
GAGAAGAAAGGCUUGUGCUUUGUAUAUUCACAUACAUUAUGUACGCCAACAGGAAAGGCGGGAGAGCACCAAAAAGAUAGAAAAUUGGGCUUUUCUUUUGGAGUCACAAAAGGGACAGCAGAAGACAAGCAACAGCUAACUAUUGGAAAAAAAAAACCGGUAAUUUCAAUUUGGGAAAACUGAUCACGUUCCGUCGAUUCUCGGUGAUGUUUAUCCACUUUUAUGUGUUUAAUCCCAACAUUAUGUUAGGCCAAGUCUUUUCAUGUAUUGGAUGGAUGACAAAACUAUUUGAUUUUUAGUUUUUAAUUU